CAGCACAUUUAUCAAUUGGAAUAGAAUUUCUGCUAAAAUGAUAGUAAAGGUAGAAAGUAAUAAAGACGUACUAGGAUAAUGGGAACUGGUUACCCAUUGUUAUAUAGGUAAUUUAAUAUAUAUCUGUUAGCAACAAUUAACCAUUGCUUUAACGAAAAAACGAUUCUGAGCGGAGUUCAGUUGAUAGUGAUGCUUUGUCAACAAUAUAGAUGUCAUA